GUCCACGCCGUAAACGAUGGGUGCUAGGUGUGGGGGGUGUCGACUCCCCCUGUGCCGAAGCUAACGCAUUAAGCACCCCGCCUGGGGAGUACGGCCGCAAGGCUAAAACUCAAAGGAAUUGACGGGGGCCCGCACAAGCAGCGGAGCAUGUGGUUUAAUUCGACGCAACGCGAAGAACCUUACCAAGGCUUGAAAUGCUCGGGAAAGCCGGAGAAAUUCGGUCCUCCUUCGGGACUCGAGUACAGGUGGUGCAUGGCUGUCGU
rnacentral:rRNA from 1 species